GGGCCGUUCGCACAGUGGAAAUGCACCGCAGUCGCAUUGCGGAGACGGGGGUUCGAUUCCCCCACGGUCCACCA
rnacentral:tRNA from 1 species